rnacentral:lncRNA from 1 species
GUCUGUGUGUCUUACACUGUGUGUGUCCCUCGCAUUCUCCAUCUCUGUCUGUGUCUCUCAUUCUGCCUCUCUCUGUCUUUCUCGGGGCUUCCAUCUCUGGUUCUGCAGCUCCGCAUCCCUCCUUUGAGGACCGCUGUAACUCGGCCCUUCCUGCCACACGCAGGCAUGAAGUUGUCCUCAGGUGCUAGGGUCUCGGAGGCCCCACUGGGCCCUGGGCUCCUGCUGGGCUUUGUCCUCUCUGGUCUCAGCUGUGCCCUGAGCACCUCUGGGUUUUGACUUCACUGGGCCUUUCUCUCAGCUCCACACUCCCAUCUCUUGUGGGGGAAGAAGAGGAAUCGGCCCUGCCUCAGUUUCCCUAAGAUGUAGGUGCAGACUCUCCCAGUGCCUGUCAGGGUCUGCCAUGUAUGUCAGCCUCCCAACCCCAAGGCAGAGUCAUUCGCUUCCUGCACCCCCCUCCCCUCCCCACUUGCCUUGCCCUUCCACCUUCUCUGGGCCCCCUUGUUCCAACUGUGGCAGGACUGGAACCAUGUUUCGGCCUCUCCUGUGGUUGGGCUCUGAGAAGCUUGGACUUCAGAGAAGAGAAGCCUCUCUGCCCACAAAGAUCUCACAGAAUUUUGGGGGCACAGGCAGGAGGUGAGAGCUGCUGUGCCUUUUCUCCCAAACGCACUGCUGAGUAACAAAGGCCCAGGUAACGAAAGAGGAGUCCAAGAGGGCCUGGGGUGGGAGGGGAAGCUGGAGGGACUUUCUCACGGAUGGGGCCAGGCUGGGCCAGCAGGGUGAGGUAGCCCCUCCCUGAUCCAAUCUCCCAGUCCAUGACUGUAACUGUAACUUGUAACUUCCUUGUCAUCUCAGGCUGGCCCUGGCGGGCAGGAAAGUAACUGGAGAAGCAGAGCCAGGAAAGGGA